GACGAACGCUAGCGGCGUGCCUAAUACAUGCAAGUCGAACGGUUUAGUUCCAAGAGGCUUGCCUUUUGGAUCUAGACAGUGGCGGACGGGAGAGUAACACGUAGGCAACCUACCUGUCAAACCGGGAUAACCUCGGGAAACCGAAGCUAAACCAGGAUAAGCACCUUUUUAGCAUGAAGGGGGAGUGAAAAGGUGCGACCUGAUGACAGAUGGGCCUGCGGCGCAUUAGCUAGUAGGUAGGGUAACGGCCUCCCUGGGCCUUGGUUCGUAGCCGACCAGAGAGGGCGGACGGCCAGACAGGGACUGAGAUACGGCCCAGACUCGUACGGGAGGCAGCAGUAGGGAAGCUUCGGCAGUGGGCGAAAGCCUGACCGAGCAACGCCGCGUGAGUGAGGAAGGGCUUCGUAAUGUAAAACUCUGUGGUUUGAAAAGAAGGGAAAGGGUAGGACCCUUUGGUGACGGUACCAAACGAGAAAGCCCCGGCUAACUACGUG
rnacentral:rRNA from 1 species